rnacentral:rRNA from 1 species
UAAUACGGAGGGGGCGAGCGUUAUUCGGAAUUAUUGGGCGUAAAGAGCUCGUAGGCGGCUCAGUAAGUCAGGUGUGAAAACUCCAGGCUCAACCUGGAGACGCCACUUGAUACUGCUGUGGCUAGAGUCCGGUAGGGGAGCAUGGAAUUCCUGGUGUAGCGGUGAAAUGCGCAGAUAUCAGGAGGAACACCAGUGGCGAAGGCGGUGCUCUGGGCCGGAACUGACGCUGAGGAGCGAAAGCG